CUUUCUUUCUUUCUUUUCAUUUUUUUUGUUUUCUCUUGUAUGCUCCUCUCUACUCUCAUCUUCUCCACUGGCACUUCCACACCACCACCACCAUUUCCACCAUCAUCUUCGACAAGAUCUCCAGAAAAUUUUUGGGAACCCAUAAACACCUUCACAUCCUUUUUUGAGUCUUUGUGACAAUGAAAUCAAAUCUAGGUCAGUGCCCUUUCACUUUGGAUGACGCGUUCUUCCCUACUGUCCAUGGGGUGAAGAGGUUCCUUGAUUGUGUGUGGGUGAGGCUGCUGUCCAUGGGGCCAAAAGACCACAAGCAAGAGUGGUCCUAUUUGACGUGCUAUCUCUGCUGCCCAUGGGAGGAGAGAAAAACCUUGAGGGUAUGAGUGAAGCUGAUAUCCAUAAGGCCAAGCAUCUGCAUACCAGAGAGGACAAUAUCAUGCCAGUUGUGAAUGGGUGGAUCCCCUGACCGGUCUAUGUGGUAAUGUGGUAUAUUUGUGAUAAUUUAUCUUAUGUUAGAUAUUAUGGCUUUGGAAAUUAUAUUGUUGAUACUCACAAAUUAUAAUAUAUAGUUUCAUGAUAUUAUUUUGAGAAACUUUAUGUUUCAUCAUUUAAUCAUUCUUGUUACAUUAUUAUUGAAAAUGAUAUUGCAAUAUUCAGUUAGCAAUUUCCUAAACAAAAACAUGUUUUGUAAAUUGUUCAUUAUAAUGAAACUUGCAUUUCCCCCACCCCCAUUAAUUAUGCUACUUACUGGGCGUUAGCUCAUCCCACGCUUUAACAGUUUUUCAGAUUUCUUAGCUAUACCUUGGAUAUGGAGCUUACUUCCUUGGUGAUGAUUAGAGUGCUAUCUUAAAUUUGGAGACUCUUGCUGUAAAUGGUUGGUAACUCGAUCUUGCUAUGUUCAACAAGACCUUAAUUUAUUCUAUUAGGGGUUGGUUACUUGAGGUUUGUUAACCUCAAGCAUGGUAGGCAUAGACUUGAUAUUAAGAUUCCUUAUUCUUGAUAAGAUUGUGACUUUGUGCAAUCCAAGAACUUUGUAGUAUAUAUUCAUGUAUUAUGUGGAGACACAAAAUUUUUAGUUAUUGUUUAUAAAUAUGUUAUAGAACUCUGACUUGUAAUAUGGAGAUUUUAGUGUGGUUAUAUAUUCUUAUCCUGUGGAAAAAGAAAAGAG